GGGCGGCGCUGGUCUCCAGCAAAGAAGGUGCUGUAGGGAAUUCGCAAACACCAACGGUAACCAGGGCAGCUGAAGGCGCGGCGAGGAGGGAAGGCCGGGUGCGCAUGCGCGCAGAACGCGGCGUUAGAGGAGCCGGGUGGAGAGAGGCGGGCGACUAGUUCCCGCGGUGCGGGGGCGCACACGAGAUUUGGCGGCUAGCAGCCGCAGGGCUGCGUGCCUUUGGCCCCAGUCUGGAGCGCAGGCGGCUGAGAGCUUGGCGCGCGUCUCCACGCCUCUCCUCCCUCAGGAAGGGCGGCGUUCCAUGAGUCUCAAACUUUGGCGCGCCAAAGACUGGAAACCACCUAGAGUGUUUGUCAGACUCUGAAGCCACACCCCUAGGUAUUCGGACUGUGCUUGUAGGAUGAGGCUCCACAAAGUCUUCAACGGCCACUCUCGCUGAUUUGGCUGCAGGUAGUCUUUGGCCUGCACUUUUUGAGACGCCGUGGUGUAGAGAAUUCGUGACUAAUAGUUCUUUCUCUGAAAGGAAGUCCAGAUUCUCAGGUUUUGAGAUUUCUGCCCCACCUACUCAGAUUGUGAAGCCUACAUAGUGUCGUUUCUCAUUUCAUGGUUGGGAGAAUGGGACCACAGACUAGAGAUUUGAUCUGCACGCCAUCCUGCAUCCGCUUGAAGUGUGCUGUCGCUAUGGGACUGUAGACAGUGCAAGCGUCAGCUGUAUUCGGCUUUCCUAUGUUGGCGGCAUCUUUAUACAAUUUUGACAUGAGAUCUAAAGAUUGCAGGAAUUGAAGGUGUGAAACGAAGGGCUGGAAUCAAAUUCUUAAUUUUAAUAUUACCUUGCCUGCUGUAUCAGAAUGAUUAGUCUUGAUUUCAUAUUCCAGCCUGUAUUGAAUGUAAUCCAGAUCAGAGUCAGCUUUCUGGAACUAGAGAUCAGCAUAAAUCAUUUUUUGUGAAGCAAAAGACAUACUAAUAAAUAUGAUAACUGUUAACUAUUC